rnacentral:misc_RNA from 1 species
AACGCAUCUUGCGCUUUCGGGUUAUUCCUGGAAGCAUGUUUGUUGGAGUAACGGAACAGCUCAACCCCGCCAUUCUUAGUUGAACGCUAGAUGGGAUUUGGAUCGUGAUGCUUUGUUGGUUCCUGCUAAAAGGGCGUCAACUGCAUUGAAAUACAAGAAGCUGAACUUUUGAUUGUUGCAGGCUUCGGCUAACUAUUGUUGCAAAACUUCGGUCAAUAGUGUUGCAUUUUCAAACCACAGUAGGCUUAUCAUAAAUAGUCUGAGAGGUCUUUACAAGUCUCUUUGCUUUUUUUUUAGCUUGUUCUCCAAUCAAGCAGGACUACCCGCUGAACUUAA